rnacentral:rRNA from 1 species
CCUACGGGGGGCAGCAGAGGGGAAUAUUGGACAAUGGGGGGAACCCUGAUCCAGCCAUGCCGCGUGUGUGAAGAAGGCCCUCGGGUUGUAAAGCACUUUCAGUGAGGAAGAACGCCUGGUGGUUAAUACCCAUCAGGAAAGACAUCACUCACAGAAGAAGCACCGGCUAACUCCGUGCCAGCAGCCGCGGUAAUACGGAGGGUGCGAGCGUUAAUCGGAAUUACUGGGCGUAAAGCGCGCGUAGGUGGCUUGAUAAGCCGGUUGUGAAAGCCCCGGGCUCAACCUGGGAACGGCAUCCGGAACUGUCAAGCUAGAGUGCAGGAGAGGAAGGUAGAAUUCCCGGUGUAGCGGUGAAAUGCGUAGAGAUCGGGAGGAAUACCAGUGGCCAAGGCGGCCUUCUGGACUGACACUGACACUGAGGUGCGAAAGCGUGGGUAGCAAACAGGAUUAGAUACCCGAGUAGUC